rnacentral:misc_RNA from 1 species
GAUGAAGAACGCAGCGAAUUGCGAUAAGUAAUGUGAAUUGCAGAUACUCGUGAAUCAUUGAAUUUUUGAACGCACAUUGCGCCCUUGAGCAUUCUCAGGGGCAUGCCUGUUUGAGCGUCAUUUCCUUCUCAAAAGAUAAUUUAUUAUUUUUUGGUUGUGGGCGAUACUCAGGGUUAGCUUGAAAUUGGAGACUGUUUCAGUCUUUUUUAAUUCAACACUUAGCUUCUUUGGAGACGCUGUUCUCGCUGUGAUGUAUUUAUGGAUUUAUUCGUUUUACUUUACAAGAGAAAUGGUAACGUACCUUAGGCAAAGGGUUGCUUUUAAUAUUCAUCAAGUUUGACCUCAAAUCAGGUAGGAUUACCCGCUGAACUUAAGCAUAUCAAUAAGCGGAGGA